rnacentral:rRNA from 1 species
UACGUAGGGUGCAAGCGUUAAUCGGAAUUACUGGGCGUAAAGCGUGCGCAGGCGGUUGUGUAAGACAGAUGUGAAAUCCCCGGGCUCAACCUGGGAACUGCAUUUGUGACUGCACAGCUGGAGUGCGGCAGAGGGGGAUGGAAUUCCGCGUGUAGCAGUGAAAUGCGUAGAGAUGUGGAGGAACACCGAUGGCGAAGGCAGCCCCCUGGGCUAACACUGACGCUCAGGCACGAAAGCGUGGGGAGCAAACAGG